GACGAACGCUGGCGGCGUGCUUAACACAUGCAAGUCGAACGCUGAAGGCCUGGCUUUUGUUGGGUUGGAUGAGUGGCGAACGGGUGAGUAACACGUGAGUAACCUGCCCUCUUCUUUGGGAUAACGCCCGGAAACGGGUGCUAAUACUGGAUAUUCACUGAUCUUCGCAUGGGGGUUGGUGGAAAGGUUUGUUCUGGUGGGGGAUGGGCUCGCGGCCUAUCAGCUUGUUGGUGGGGUGAUGGCCUACCAAGGCUUUGACGGGUAGCCGGCCUGAGAGGGUGACCGGUCACAUUGGGACUGGGAUACGGCCCAGACUCCUACGGGAGGCAGCAGUGGGGAAUAUUGCACAAUGGGCGAAAGCCGGAUGCAGCGACGCCGCGUGAGGGAUGGAGGCCUUCGGGUUGUAAACCUCUUUCGCUCAUGGUCAAGCCGCAACUGUGGGUUGUGGUGAGGGUAGUGGGUAAAGAAGCGCCGGCUAACUACGUG
rnacentral:rRNA from 1 species